CGGGUGAGUAAUGCAUAGGAAUCUGCCCAGUAGUGGGGGAUAACUCGAAGAAAUUCGAGCUAAUACCGCAUAUGUCCCACGGGACAAAGCAGGGGACCUUCGGGCCUUGCGCUAUUGGAUGAGCCUAUGUCGGAUUAGCUAGUUGGUAGGGUAAAAGCCUACCAAGGCAACGAUCCGUAGCUGGUCUGAGAGGAUGAUCAGCCACACUGGGACUGGGACACGGCCCAG
rnacentral:rRNA from 1 species